rnacentral:rRNA from 1 species
UACGGAGGGGGCUAGCGUUGUUCGGAAUUACUGGGCGUAAAGCGCACGUAGGCGGCUUUGUAAGUUAGAGGUGAAAGCCCGGAGCUCAACUCCGGAAUAGCCUUUAAGACUGCAUCGCUAGAACGUUGGAGAGGUAAGUGGAAUUCCGAGUGUAGAGGUGAAAUUCGUAGACAUUCGGAAGAACACCAGUGGCGAAGGCGACUUACUGGACAACUGUUGACGCUGAGGUGCGAAAGCGUGGGGAGCAAACAGG